CUCUCUUGAGGUCUUUUUAAAAAGUGGUUCUAUGUUUGGAAACUAGCUCAUCUCCUAUACAUGAAACAGAUAAAGGGUACUGCAAAUCUCACAGCACUUUACAGUGAGCGCGGCAGCUUCUCCUUCCCCUGGUGGCUGCACUAGUUACCUGCAGAGUCAGCCUGCAGCACCGUGGUGACUUCUCUAGGACUCAAGUGAUUCACUUCACUACUGCUGUAGCGAACUGGGGUUUCCUCGUGCUCCACUGAUUUGGCAGGAAGAAACUGCUUCAUUCCUUUCCACCAACCUUCAUUGUGAUCGCAAGUAAAAGAGACCAUUACAUAGAAAGCUAUGUUUGAAAUGAUAACAGUAUAUGAAGGGAGAAAUCCUGUUGCAUUUAAGCCAUUUCUAUAACAAAUAUUUAUACAAACCAGCCUUUGUGUUCAAGGUUUUUGGUUUCUUUGGUGGUUGUUCUGGUGGUAAAAUACACACAACAUAAAAUUUCCUAUCUUAACCAUUUUUUUUGGCCACGCUGCACGGCUUGCAGGAUCUCAGUUCCCCGACCGGGGAUGGAACCGGGGCCACAGCAGUGAAAGCCUGGAGUCCUAACCACUAGGCCGCUGGGGAACGCCCUGAACCAUUUUCAGUUGAACAGCUCAGUGUUAUUAAACACAUAUUCACAUUGUUGUGCAACCCUCCCCACCGUCCAUCUCCAGAACUUUCAUCUUGGUGAAACUGAAAUUCCAUACCUAGUAAACCGUAAUUCCUGAUUCUUCCCCUCAGCCCCUGGCAAGCACCACUCUACUUUCUGUCUUUAUAAUUUUGAGUACUCUAAGUACCUCGUAUGAAUGGAAUCAUAUGCUAUUUUUCUUUUUGCGACUGACUUAUUCCAUUUAGCAUAAUUGCCUCAAGGUUCAUCCACAAUGUAGUAUAUAUUGCAGAAUUUCCUUCCUUUUUAAGGCUUAAUAUUCCAUUUUAUGUGUAUAACCACAUUUUGCUUAUCCAUUUAUUGGUGGAUAGAUACCCGGAUUGCUUCCAUGUUUUAACUAUUCUGAAUAACGCUGCUAUGAACAUGGAUGUAAAAAUAUCGUUUCAAGACUCCGCUUUCAAUGCUUUUGGGUAUAUACCUAGAAGUGGAAUUGCUGGUUCAUAUGGUAAUUCUAUUUUUAAUUUUUUGAGGAACUGACAAAAAAUUCUGUUUUCCACAGAAGCUGUACCAUUUUACAUUCCUGCCAACAGUGCACAAGGGUUCCAGUUUCUCCACAUUCUUGCCAACACUUGUUGUUUUCUGUUGCUUCCUAUUCUCUAUUUUGUUCCUCUCCUCUAAUCUUUUAUUAUUUCCUUCUUCCCUAUAGCUUUGGGUUUAGUUUGUUCUUCUUUUUCUAGUUCCUUAAGUUGUUCAAACUUAUUUUUUGCUUUGAUAAGACUAUCCAGUGCAAAGCAGAACACAGUAGAAAUCUCUAUCAAAAGCAUAUACUGAAGCAAAUCACGGCUAUUAUAGUGCAGCCAGAUAUAGUUUGUUAUAGCAGUGGUCUUUAAUAAGUUUUAAUAAGCUUAAAAAAUUCUAAGAUCAACCCUGUGGGGGGCAGGGGGACGACGGUGAGAAGUAGCAGCCCAAGACCUGCCCCCAUCACUGCUCUUUUCUACCCUCGUCACAGUGAAUUCUUUUGACCCCUAACAGUCAUUCCGGUGGUGAGACUGGGAAGUGGGAGACCCGCCCGCAGAAGGCCUCUGGUGUCACCUGCAGCAACCUGCCACCUGCCACAGAGAGUAGGAAUUCGGAAGAUGACAACUCAUGGCAGAGAUAGCAGACUUCACUGACUCGUAAAACGCUGAACUCCACUGCGUCCUUUGCCCCUGAGAAGUUUAAAGUGUCACACACCCUUAACUGCAUAGACCUGAUUCCUCUACCAUGUGCAAGAUAAGCCAACGCUGUCACUAACAGUGAGGGGACCGAGGGCCACGUGUGCAACGAAGAACGUUCUCCCCCAGCCUGCUCCUCAGAAUUCUGACACAUCCUCCCCUGGAGAAACUUCUGUCCCUCCCCAACAUUAAGAAUUGCUAUCUACCGUAAGCCUUUUAAAAAGAAAAAAAUCAAGCACACAAAAGGACAUUUUCUGAUGUACAGCUAAUUAAAAUAAUGCGCUGCAAGCUAAAGAGAAAGUUUUUCUAGUGUUGUCAACGAGGAAAAGAGGGUUAUGUGACUUGCUGAAGAUCACAAGUGGGGCUUUCUCAAAGAGCCCAAGCUAUGUGUUUUUCCUGCUUCGAAACAUUCUUCUCUAGUAUAAGACUAUGUUUUUAUUAUUGAUACUAAAAGCUCCCUCAUUUUAAAGUCUGGCUGUAUUUAAAAUAUAAUACUUCAUUAUUUCAAAGUAAGGUAUAGUGUAAAAUUUGUGGACGAGAUGGUAGGUGCUGAAGCUGUCCAAGGGUUGUACUAUAAAGGAUUUCAUAUUCUUGAUCUCCAGUGACAAAGCUGCAGGUGAUUUAUUCGUUACAUGUAAAGUACUUAGAACAGUGCCCUGCAUAGGUUAGGGAUUCAGUAACUUGCAGCUGUUUUUAUUAUUACUUUUCUCCUGGCUAUUUUCCAUAAGCCCCUUAACGGCGCUUCCUCUUUACUCCUUGUCACAAAGCCAGUCGUCAGCAAUUUCAUCCACUACGUUUGUAGAAGUAACCUCAAUUCUGCAGCUCAGACCUUUUGUCCUGAACAGGCUCAUGUUCCAUCUUGCCUCUUGGGAGUCUGAAUGUCCAGAGUCCUUUAAACGUCAUCCCACACUGAUCUCAGGACUUGCCUCCUGCCUCUCAACAGCUCUACUCCCCUGUCCUCACGCCCACGCCCUGGGGCUUUAACCGCAGAGUAGUUAGACUUGAACUGCCGAUUGAUCAGAGGCUGCAGCGGCUAACAGCACGGGCUCUGAAGCCUGGACCAAAUCUCCACCCUGCCAUGUGCUGACCAGGUGACCUCAGACAAGUUACCUGUGCUCUCUCAGUCACUUUCCUCUUCUAUAAAAUGGUAUUUAUAACAACACCUGCUUCACAGGUUGUUUUAAGGAUUAAAUGAGUUAAAACACGUAAGGCAUUUAGAAAAACGUGUAAAACCAGCAUUUCGUUUUAUUUUCUAUGCAACUGCCGUUGCUACUGUUCUCACCACUACCACUGUUGCUGUCCGGUUCCCUGAAAGCAUCGUGAACUUUCCUUCCUGGACUCUCCCAGAGCCCUGUUCCCUCCUCCCCCGCCUCAUGCCCUCAUGCUAAGUUGUCAGUUCUGUACAGACAGCCCCCCAACACCAGGAAUCCGGGACCCACGCCUCCUCCAGCUUCCUUCCACCCGUGGAACAAACUGUGGUUGGUACGGUUAUGAUUCCUACUCAUCUUGGGUGAAACUUAGAGGAUUUAAGCUAUUUAAGACAUGUUACGUAGUUCAAAAUGGAGUCCCAGUGGCCAACACGAACUUGCCUAUGAGUUGUUUUGAAACAUCCACUGUAGGACUGCCAGUGUCCUCAAAUGAUAAACUGAGAAUAUUACUUUAGACAAGAAGUUUGAUGGGCCAUGUAUGGCACGGAAACAGACAGCAACUGAAGGAGUCCAGACUCUUCCCCUGGGGUAAGAGUUAUUCCUUAAGAGGAGACCAUUGAACAGAGUGACCUGAAGGAUCUUGGCUGGAGGCCCCCAUGCUGCUGAGAGCUGUUCCAGAUGGAGGCCGCCUGCGGCCCUGCUGGAGCCGGGGUGGUUUCCCACUCUCACUUGUCAUGUGCUGCUGUUGGUGCUGAGAUGCCUCCUUCAAGGCUUCUCCUUGGAGUGGUUCGUUUACACCCUCCUCCCCUGCCCACCCCCCCCACACUUUGCCUAACCUGUGUUGUGCGCUAAUUAUGUAUAGUAAACCGAGUGAGUCGUGAGUUGAAUAUUGGCUACUGUUUUAUCUCCAAUCCCGUGAUCCCUACCUGCCCUUACUGCUGGGCCCUGCAACAAACAGGUUCCACGGUGGAAGGUUUUCUGCAGAGUAUCCUCUCCCAUCCAUAGACUCUGGGGUUCACCACUGGACUCCCAGCACACGGCUCAAUACUUGGCAGGGAGUAGGAGGCUCAAAUAUCUGUUGGAUGGCUAGACAAAUGAAGUCCCUCCAAAGCUGUCAGUCACCAAUCUGUCCCUCCUACCCUGUUACCUCUACUCACGCCAUCUCUACCGGUCAACUGCACAAGCCAGAAACGUGAGAGAAACUUAGAUCCUCCUCCUUCCUUAGCAAGUGGCCAGUCAAGCCCUGCACUGACGCCUCUGGGAACCCUCUCCCCCUCCAAGUCUCUCCCUUUCCUAGAAUUGCUGUAUCAUGUUCCUGUGUGGCCUUAAGUUUCCUAACUCAUCUCUCUGCCUCUUCUAGUCUCUCUCUCCUCUUCAAUCCACCCUCCUGCCACCAUUUUUCUACAAUCAUCUGAUAAUAUCACCUGUCCGCUGAACCCUGCUCAAGGAUUUCCCCAUCUACAGAAAGUCCUUCCUGGUCCCAGGUCCAGGCUGCAUUUCUAUGGGUCUCCUAGCGCUCCCGCACGCCAAGCCCCUGUGGGAUGACUCACUGUUCUGCCUACAUUCCACAACUCUGUGCCUUCCUGCAAGCCAUCCCAUCCAUCUGGGCCAUUCUCUCUUCCUCUAUCUCGCCAAAUGUAAUCCCUCCUUUAAGGCAAACCAUGCCAAAUUUGAGGAACACUCUUUUCUGAAAAAAAGGUUUCAGGUAAUUCUCAUGGUUCUUAUGUCUGUGUUCCCCAGCACUUCAUAUACAACUCAUCAUGCCAAAGUAUAGUGGUCAACCCUGCUAAACAAUUUGGAGAUAAUAAUUGUGUCUCAUUCUUUCAAAGUGCUACUAAGUAUCUAUUAUAUCUUACUGAUGUGUGUAACCCAUUGUAUAAUACAAAAUUUGAUAUAAUAAAGGUACUCAGUAACUGA